CCCAGUCUCGGUCACCACGCGAUCAUGCGGAUGAUGCUCGGCGUGUCACUGUAAUUGCCAGCUACUGCCGCUCCCUGCCCCUGUUCAAUUAAGCCAAUGCUUGAAAUUUUGGUUCAAAAUGACCUGCUCUUCAAUCCUUGCUGAUUUGUGGUUUUGAGACCCACCCAAGCAGGGUCUGCGCUCAUGAGGAGAACCUGCUGUUCCUGGAGGCCUGGCAGACAGUCGAUCCCGCUACUACCACAAGUCCGCUUUGUGACGAGCUGGUCAACACACGGGAGGAGACAUAUAUGAUUCCACUUGUGCAAAGUCUGCCUGUACUGCUAUCCAUAUUGCCCCAUAGCAAUACAAUUUAUCUACUGCCUCAAUAGCUCACUUCUGCAAGUCAUAACGUGCCACUUAAUAUUUUAGAAAGUACAACCGAGUUUAAUAAGUGGAUCAAAUGCAGUUGUCAUGCACCUCCUUUGGUUGAAUCUGAAUUCUGUUAGAAACAUGGCAAACCACCUAAAUAUGCCAUUGAUCUGUACAAAACUGAGAGAUUUUGUGUUUUUAUAGUUCUUUUGUGCUCUAACCGAAUUUGCUUAUCUGACAUUUUUUCAGAUGUUGCAACCUUGGGCGAUCGGUUCUUUGGAUUCUUGAAACCAAUGCCUUUUCUGAAGUAAGUUUGGCAUGCAAGGUGCCCUCACGGUUUAUUUUCAAGAUGGCGCUGGGGUCUCGGGGACGUGCCGGACGGCGUCGCGGUCCUGCACCUUGGGGAUGGCUUUGGGUCGAAUUCUCCUCCAUGCAAUCUUGUGCUCCUUUGGUAUGUGUGGCUUCGCCCAUCUUCCUCAUAUUUUCUUCUACUGACUGCUGUAGCCUUACUAUGCAUCCUGGAGCGACACCAUGUAUUCCAGAGCUGCUACAUGAACAUAAUGAAACACCUGACCUUCAAAGAAAAUGAUACAGCUGGCCAGUUUGGUUUGGAGUUUGCAGGAGGCUUUCAGAUGUUUUUCUAUGUUACAUACCCCGCGUUAGCCAACAAAAUAAGUCGAUAUUCUGUAUGGAUAUAGGAUUUGCAUAUUUUCUAUUGUUUCUAGCGAAUACAGACUAAGUCUCUGAUUAUCUGCAGGGUGUUUCUAAUCUUUCUGCCUUCUAGCAUAAAUAGAGGUAUGGUGCCUAGAGUUCAACUAUUUAUCCUAUGUAGUAUAAUUGACAUUUAAGUUAUACAACCUUUCCAGAUUUCUCAAUAUCAUGCCUAGAGCUUAUAAUCCUUUCUUUGAAGAUCCAUAGCCAGACUUUGAAACUGUUGCACAUACAUAAAUUAAACUAGCUGCCUGUAGUACGAGUAUUAUAUAGAUUUGUAUGUAUGUGGUUACUUUGUUCUGUGGCAAAAGGGUUGAAGGCUAACAUUUUUUUAAAUAUAGCACAUUCAUAUAAAUUUUCUUGCAAUUCUAACUAUGAAAUCCACAUUCAUUCGGUAGUUUUUCUGUAACAAUAUAAAUGAUCUUUCAGUCACAAUGCCAGUAUUUAAAACUAAAUCUGAUGGGCCUAAAUUCCCCUUGGACCCCCACCCCCUCAUUAUAUUCCUACUAGGAAAUGUGCCCGUGCGUUGCAACGGGAAAAUAAGUAUCCAUGAACCCGUUAAAGAAAUGUGCCACCAACUGAGACCUUCCCUGCUGACACUGAGAAACUGAAAUUCUUUUUGUGCAUACAUUCAGCAAAGCAAUUAAAUCAAAAUGUAACAUUCCAAAGCUAAUAAAAGGAUUUUCUUUCUUACACCAUGGGGAAAGUUCAUAAAAUCUAGCAAUCAAGCAAAAAAGGAAUUUACCUAUAGUUACCAACAAAUAAAGCAUUAUAACUCUUAAAAAGAUUUAAAUCAGUGCUGAAGAUUGACUAAAAAUGAGUAGAUAAAUUCAAGUGUCACACUUCGAGACGACUAAUUUACAUGUCAUGAAGUUGCAGUGAAGAGAUAAUUUGGUGAAAAUGAUUACAAAUGAAAUAUUUUGAUGCCAGCAAAACUUUUCAGUGAAAAUAAAAAUUGAAUGCUGGAGGCAUAUCUGAAUGAAUGAUCUGUUUGGUUGAUGAAAUACCACCAAAAAAGCAUCAACACCUCUAAAUGAAUGAUCCGUUAGACUGACGAGAUACCAUCACAAGAGGAUCAGCUUCACCUUCUUGUGGACCACCUUCAGAUUACAGUCUAAUCUACGGAUGGCUGCUAUGACAGUCUUGUAUAAUUACCUAGCCUUAUCUCUGAGUGUUCUGCACCUGAAGUUCUAUGCUAUCUGAAAAACGGGAGCAAGCAUUCAGAGAAUCCAUCCAAAACAUUAAUUUGGUCAUGUUUACAUUCUGCGACUUUGUGCAACAUAUCAUGGAAAAAUUCACAAAUAAAAUCCAUAAAGUACAGUGCACACACUUGGUGAAGAGCCCUUAUACAUAGUCACAAAUUCUAUAGCCUUACUCCAUUCUCUCAUGAUCAUACAUUUCUCUAUUGUUGGCAUGUAUUAGAAUUGGCUCCCAUGGUCAAGAUAACAAUGCAGGUAAAUGUGUGUGCACACCUCAUGGUCGUGUCUGCCACCCUUCGUAAAUAAAUCCAUGCUGCCUCCCAUGCUUGAGUAUCUAGAAGCAAACAUUUCAAUCUGUAGCAAUAAAUAGACAAUAAGUAAUUAUGUUAAGCUCUAAACCCAUAACUCCCUCUAGCCGAUAACAAAUUCCACUACAUACAGAAAUUGCAUUAUGUACUUUGACCAAGUUCAUUGUGAAGAGAAUACCGUCCUUUUUCUGAAACCUUAAAGCCUUCUGAAUGAUUUUGAUGCAUAGCAGUAAUGUCAUACACUUUGCGCCAUUCGAAAAAUGUUACCAAAAAAAAACCCUGCAUCCACUAAACAACUGUUGUUCAAUCUCAAAGUUGGAUUAGGUAUUGCAGAAAAGUGUAAGCAGGGUGGAGACCAAAAGGUAGAAAUUGGUCCAUAAAUUGAUAUGAAUGGAAUUGCGACCUCUCUGUUUUGAAGGUUGCCGAAAAAAAUAGAACUCUAAACCAAAAUGCUCAGAAACUACUAUGCACGCUCCAAUUGACACAGUGAGCCCAGCAUCAUGGCCAAUUAGAAACGAAGCUCGCAUCUGCAGAAAAGACAGGAUUUUUUUGGCACCAGAAAUUACUUCUGCCUUGCAGUGAUGAAACAAACAAAAGGCUAAUUUAAGUGACUAAGGUAACUGCCUCUCUGGGAACAGGAAAUUGCAAGUUCCUGCUGAGUUCCAAACUGCUGUUGAGCUAGUAGAAUUCAGACAUGCUCUUCGCUGGUUGAAGUUUGCUUGAAAAUUAAAUCAAGCUAAAGCCAAGCGUAUGAUCAAAUGCAGUUUAGGGCAUAAUUCUGAUGGAUGGCUGCAUACUGAUAGCGUCUAUAGAACUACAUUAUCUCACAAUUUGAAUACAAAGACAUCAUGAACUGGGAGAAAUAAAUGAGUAGAGCCUGAGCUUUCUGAACACCAUUUAGACAAUUAUAGGAGAUACUAUUAUACCUCCUGUCUAGAGGAUCCAAUCAAGUGAAAAGUCCCAAGGUCCCAAAAAAUAAUUGUCUUAUCAGCUGAACCUGGAUAAUUUUUUGGAAAAAACAGAAAACAAAAGUUACAACUAACCAAGUCUAGAUUAUAUAAAUAGUUUUAGAGGAAAGAUGUUAUUCGGGAACAAAUCUCAUGUUCUUGUACAGGUUUUACAAUAUAUUAUCAUCCAAAAUACCUAUGUCUAUCAAGUAAGAAUAUGAUCUUUCAGCCUCUCAAAAUAUGAAUCUUUCAGACUUGAAUCAAACACGGAGCAAAUAGGAACUUCUUCAUGAACUUAUUAGUUCAUGGAUUUGAAUCAAAAGGGAGCAGCAGUAAAAAAAAUAGGGAGCAACAGUACCUUUCUUGUGAAGGGGGUAUGGAAUAGGCAGUAGUACCUUUCUUGCGAAGGGGUCAUGGUCAGGAGGGUGUCGGAGAUGCUGCUGCAAGUUUUCGCUGCUCUACAGCGGUUGUAGGAGACCGUAUUGAUAUAUCGACGUCCAGUAGUCCACCGGCAACAGGGCUUACUUCUUCCUAUUGUGAGAUAAUUAUUACUUCUUAUAUUAUCAUAGAUAUGUGUCAACUAACUUUCCAAGUGCCAGGUUCAAGAAGCGAAUACUAAAUACAUCUCCAGCGGUGCACCAUGUUAGCACACAACAUUCAUUUAAUCCGACCCCGAUAAUAUUCAUGGUUCACUCCCAGAAUUAGCUUUCCUAGAAUAUCUAUAGCAACCAAUAAUCACCUCUGAAUGGGGCUUCAACUUGUAAAAGUGACAACAACAAUGCACAUUCCAACAAUCCAUCACUUUGUGAAAGUAUCUGACUUUAUUGCCAUCUCAGAAAACAAUGAUUCAGUUACAACAUUAGUGCAGUACACUGAUCGGUUAUUCAAGAAAGGAAACAGUAAGAGCAAACAAAUAGUAGCAAGUAGCAACAUUAAUUAAAAAGAAGAAACCUGGAACUGGCUACCAAAUAAUGUGAACAUCUAGUGAAAAAAGUGCACUAUCAUUUGCGUAACAUGUGGUGAGAAAAUACAACGCAAAUUCAAAACUGUACAUCUCUGUUAUUAUGUUCUCUCUUUCUAACAUCCCGAUAGCAAUAUGCCCAUAUCCAAAAGAAAAAUUAAUACUUUGUGAUUCUAGCCAGUGAGGCAGCUUCUAAUCCCCUUCAAGAGCAAUAAAAUCAUAUGGAAAAUUAGCCACAUAAUAAAUUCAUAUUACUGAACUCCUGAGCUCUGAAUGAGAAACAAAAAGGCUGACCGAUGGGGAGCGGCAGCGGGGCGGGACUGUUUUCCUGGAUUUAGCGCUCGAUGUGGGUCGUCGAGAUGUGUAAGAGCCAAUACAAAGUAUAUUGUAAAUUCCAUCAGAAUUUGAUUCCACCCAAGAAAAAACUCACAGCUAUGUUCAUUUCAGAAGAAAGAAAAUUAAGAAUAUCCAAAUGUCCAUUUAAAUUUUGGGAAGAUGACAGUUGUUGGCAACGGAUCAGCCAGGAGGAGGCAUGUGAGGACGUGGUCAUACUGGUCGCCGAGGCACAGGACGGUGUCCAGGAUCUCCUCUUGCAGGAUACACUCAUCUUCAUGUUGGUUCAAUAGUUCAGUAUCGUGCUGAAGACAACAUCUCCUCUUUCUGUCCAUUCUCUACGCUAAUAUAUAAUGAAUCAAAAUGUACAGAACAUGAGUAGUAUAUGAACGAACACUUUCACAUUACUGUUGGAUGGAACACCGAAGGAACAAAAAAGCAGAAAAUUACCUCCUAUCUGUUGGGUCAAUUGACCGAACAGUUGGCGUGCAGCCGUGUAGAUGGCCGCUGGAUAUAGACAAGGCGAUGGACUUCGCGCCUGCAAGUUGCAAUGGCAUGGAGGGCAGGUAUUGUGUACGUCCUGCAGCACCGGCCAGAGGUCCGGGAGAGGCCGAAAGUCGGAGAGGAGGGUUCUCCAUGACAGAAGUCGGAGAGGAGGGCGGGCUGUGCCGGGCGUUGGGAAGGAAAUAGGAGGUCAAGCUGGUGGUGCGGGGGUUGGGUCUGGUCCGGGAGGAGCGCUGCCGGAGGUAGGGCCGCCUCGCCAUCACGGCCUCCGCUCCGCGCGGCAGCGCAAGACGGCGGCGGCGGCGGCGCCGUACCCGUACGCGAGGAGGAGAGCCCGUGCUUGUGCAGGUGUGUGCGUUUUUCUCUGUUUUGCACUUAAAGUAACUUGGACGCCUCGCCCUCCUCCGUCUCAGCUCGUCGUCGUCCUCCUGUCGCUCGCCGACGAGAUCGCCAUGACGCCCCUCGCUCUCCUCCCAGCUCCUCCUCCUGGCCGACCUCGUGUGUGCUCUGCCCGCCGCUUCACACACCGGGGCCGCCACCUUGCCGACGUCCCAGCGAGCCUCCCGACAGCCGUCGGCGGCAUCUCCACUCUCCCCCGCGCUUGGCUGCCCUCCGCCUCGCCCCGCCUCGCCCCGCCCCGCCUGGAGCCCGGGCAUUUUCUCAGUUAAAAAGGAGCGCGAGUGGAAUUCUAAUAAAUCUAAGGGUCAAUUUGUAAAAUCAAAACGUUUUUCCAGAUACACUUAAAUCGGGACCGCGGGUUGAUUUCCCGAAAACUGCGGGGCUUUUCUGCAAAACGUGCGACGACGGACGACCAGAAGCAAUCGAUAGGUAAAGAUAUCUCCAAUCUCCUUUCUCCACCGGCUAUCAGAGAAUAGAGAUCACAUCAUGAAUUUGUUUUUUGUCAGAGAUGUUCUCCCAUUGCUAUUGGCUGUCAAAUUUGCGAUGCAAUCCGUCCCUAUGUUGGCACAAUCAGCAGAACAAAGCAGCUAUCAUGAUUUGCCCAUUGAUCUCUUGGAGUGAUUCAAACCUGCAAGCACCAGGGUAAGAAGUUUCGGUUUUCUUACUAAUGCAACUGAUUUUGUAAGGCUACAACAAUGUCAGUUUGCUUUUAUGUUGGUUUUCUAAUUUCUACAUAUUCCUUUCUUACGGAUUCUGCCUUCAAGAAAAUCUAAUUAUCUAGGUAGUAUGGAAAAGCACGCAAAUUAUAUAACUAUUUGGGUAUACUUAUGCUCUGCUAUGUCAGAUUGAGGAGAAAUAAUUAUUUUGUUCACCCAUCUUAUUUUUUCCCAGGUAAUGACUCAUGCUCUACUAUGUCAGAUUGAGUGACUUCUGCAUAUGAUGACUGAAGAAUUUUUCAUCAAUUUUCCAACCUGAAUUAGCUACAGAAUUUGGGAAAAGAGGAGUCCAGGCUCUGAUGAACACACCGUCUUUCCCAGGUAACUAAUAGUUGGCACCUCUACAUUUACAUUAUAUCAGGCCAGCACCACAAAUUCCCUGUAUGCGUCUGCCUGCCUACAUUGACGGGCGAUCCGGUCGCAAAAAAAUGGAUAAAAAAUAUACAUCAGUUUGUCAAAAUACAUGUUGGUUAUCUCACGAACGAUUAUAGCUAUUACCAGAGUACAAGCAAAUAUGUUACAAUUUUUCCUUGAAGGAAACUUGUAUUAUGAUUAUUACAUUUUGAUCUUGGAGCUAUGGUCGACUUUAGUAGAUGGUUACUUCAGUCUGCACCAGUCAAAUAUUUUCUAAUUACAUGUCUGAGCACCAUCGGGAUAACCCGAUUACUGUGUCACAAGCUUUCUAUUUCUAUUUAUGCAAAUUCUGUAGUUAUUUCAGUGUUUUGCACGAUGCAUAAGUUUUUUCACAACAGAAAGAAGUGGAUGUACAACUUGAUUCUGCUUUAUUAUUUAAGUACCACUUGACUUUGUAAAUCCCAGUUUCUCCAGUAUUGUAACUGUCAAAUCGUCAAUUUAACCUGAUUUUUCUCUUUGGAGAGCUUGCAAUUUGCAAUAUUAUGAUUUUCCUUUUGCAGAAACCACUUCAACUAGCCCAGGACUGUGUCUAUUAGUCCCCCAGUAUUUGUUGAGAUGAGAUAACACAUUGUAUGACAGGUAACAAGCAACUGAAGCAAGAAGAUUUUUUAAAUUUCUUGGAAAGUAUAACCAUCUUAACCCAGGAUGCAUGAUGAAGGAUCCAAUAUGUCAGGACCAACGAGGGAAUUGCAGUAUGCAGAACCAAUGAGAGAAUUGUAGAGCUUCAUAUUAAGUUUAUUUUAGCUGCUUGCCCGCUUCAAGUGUCUAGAUUACAUGAAACAUGUUUCUUUAAGUGACAAACCUGGAUACCAAUUUAUUCAAACUAUUAUAUUUCUUAUAGAAGUAAUGCAAUAUAUUUUCUCUCUUGUGCCUAUUUGAAAUACCGUUGUGGGUCUGUACUUUGCAUCUCAUAUUGCAAGGAUAACACAUUGUAUGCAUACUCUCUCUCUUAACUGUAACAAUGAUGGAGCAGGAAAGAGUGAUGCACCAUCUAAUAUGGAUAUUGUACAUGUAUGAGCU
rnacentral:lncRNA from 1 species